AAGCUUGCUUCUCUGAUGUUAGCGGCGGACGGGUGAGUAACACGUGGAUAACCUACCUAUAAGACUGGGAUAACUUCGGGAAACCGGAGCUAAUACCGGAUAAUAUUUUGAACCGCAUGGUUCAAAAGUGAAAGACGGUCUUGCUGUCACUUAUAGAUGGAUCCGCGCUGCAUUAGCUAGUUGGUAAGGUAACGGCUUACCAAGGCAACGAUGCAUAGCCGACCUGAGAGGGUGAUCGGCCACACUGGAACUGAGACACGGUCCAGACUCCUACGGGAGGCAGCAGUAGGGAAUCUUCCGCAAUGGGCGAAAGCCUGACGGAGCAACGCCGCGUGAGUGAUGAAGGUCUUCGGAUCGUAAAACUCUGUUAUUAGGGAAGAACAUAUGUGUAAGUAACUGUGCACAUCUUGACGGUACCUAAUCAGAAAGCCACGGCUAACUACGUGCCAGCAGCCGCGGUAAUACGUAGGUGGCAAGCGUUAUCCGGAAUUAUUGGGCGUAAAGCGCGCGUAGGCGGUUUUUUAAGUCUGAUGUGAAAGCCCACGGCUCAACCGUGGAGGGUCAUUGGAAACUGGAAAACUUGAGUGCAGAAGAGGAAAGUGGAAUUCCAUGUGUAGCGGUGAAAUGCGCAGAGAUAUGGAGGAACACCAGUGGCGAAGGC
rnacentral:rRNA from 1 species